GGCCCGUGUGGACAAGUGUUGGAUCAGAGGAGUCAAGGUUGUGGCAAGCUGCUCCUCCUAGAUUCAAUCCACUGAAGACUCAAAAGGCCAGGAAAAACCCCAGAGUACCAAGGACAACAUCCACCUGUAAAGCAAAAAUAAAGUAUAUCAAACAGG